rnacentral:rRNA from 1 species
CCUACGGGAGGCAGCAGUGGGGAAUAUUGGACAAUGGGCGAAAGCCUGAUCCAGCCAUGCCGCGUGUGUGAAGAAGGUCUUCGGAUUGUAAAGCACUUUAAGUUGGGAGGAAGGGCAGUAAGUUAAUACCUUGCUGUUUUGACGUUACCAACAGAAUAAGCACCGGCUAACUUCGUGCCAGCAGCCGCGGUAAUACGAAGGGUGCAAGCGUUAAUCGGAAUUACUGGGCGUAAAGCGCGCGUAGGUGGUUCAGCAAGUUGGAUGUGAAAUCCCCGGGCUCAACCUGGGAACUGCAUCCAAAACUACUGAGCUAGAGUACGGUAGAGGGUGGUGGAAUUUCCUGUGUAGCGGUGAAAUGCGUAGAUAUAGGAAGGAACACCAGUGGCGAAGGCGACCACCUGGACUGAUACUGACACUGAGGUGCGAAAGCGUGGGGAGCAAACAGGAUUAGAUACCCUAGUAGUC